GUUUCAAGAUGUACCAUAAAAUUUUGCUUUUACAUUUUAGUCUUCUACCACAAGCAUAGAUAUCCUUGAGACCUUGACCUUAAUCUAAAGGAGAAGUUACCUAUGCCAGGUUUCUGAGCAAGGAUGUGGAAGUGAACCAAAUGGGGGUGUUCAGGCCACACAUGCAAUCAGCAAAGGAUAUGAUGUACAUGCACCAAUCAGUCUCCAGCUAAGCCAGCCACAAACACAGAAGAGUGUAACAUCAACAAGCGUCAUGCAGCUUGGGUAAAUUCUCUAUCAGAAGAAUUAGUUAUGCUUCAGUCUCUAGCCUCUCUCCACAGAGGGCAAAAGAGAAAAUGUGACACUAAUUCUACCACUAUAUCUUUCAAAACAGGCUACAACUGCACUAGACAGAAGACUGACAGCUCUCUGUUUUCUCAACUAGCCCUAUAGCUAAGAGAUACUUCUAUGAAUCCCAUUCUUGAUCAAGCUAGAAGAAAGAAGUUCAUCAAGCCCCAGAGCACAUUCAGCUCUGCCUAGAUAUUGGAUAGUUUUGUGAUUAUUGAUUGCUGUAAACAUGCAGAAGUUAUCUAUGUAAAGUAAUGUCAACUUAAACUAAGAAUAAAAAUGUGGCAAUUAUCACAUAUCAGGGUUUGCUUCAGUAUGCGUGUUAAAUGAGCCUGUGAUUAGUGCACAUAUCAGGGUAUGCGUGUUUUGUGAUUAUUGAUUGCUGUAAACAUGCAGAAGUUAUCUAUGUAAAGUAAUAUCAACUUAAACUAAGAAUAAAAAUGUGGCAAUUAUCACAUAUCAGGGUUUGCUUCAGUAUGCGUGUUAAAUGAGCCUGUGAUUAGUGCCCAUCCAGGAUGACUCAAAAUAAGAUAUGAUCUCAUGGAACUGUACAGGGAUGCAUCAAGCUCAGAGAACUUUUUUGGGUUCCACGGCUAACUUCGAUACUCAAAAGCCCCUUAAGAUAAUGACUCUCUAGAAAAUUUUGAACUCGAUAACUGAAAGAUAAUCAAUUUAUUUAUGAGAAUGCUCAUCUUCUGGCUUAAUUAAGGCAAUGAUCAAACAAAGAAGGCUUCAAGAUACUAGUAAUGCGCUAAUUUUUCUGUCAAACUAAGUGAAAUAGGAAAUUAUUGCUGAAAAACACAAAAUAUGACAGAGGAAUAUUAACAUUAGGUACAUUCCAUAAGUAUUCAUGAACAAGUUUCAAUUAUGAUAAGGACUGACAGUGCCUACAUGCAAUACAUCAAAUUCACCUAUAAUUAAGCACAUGAAGCUUUAAGAACCUCUGAACCCUGUUAAAUUGGGAAGUAGGACAAAAUAUAGUAAUUCACCACACCUUUUUUAUGUCAGCCAAUUCAGACUAAGAAGAGUAGUAAUUUUAACUCCAGACAUAGACUCUACAGUAGAAUAAACUUUGAAAGAGUAGAAACUAACAAUAAGCUUAGACAUGUUUCUACUUUAGCUAACUCAACCUUAAGCCUGCAGUGAAAAUUGGCUAUCACUAUCCACUAAACGGCUACAUGCAAAGUUGCUACAUUUGGCUAACUGAAACUUAGGCUGGGAGUUGAGUGCAAUUACAGAAAGAAUUAUCAAAAUUUUCAGUUCACCUAGGAGGAAAAAAUGAGAAGGAAAAGAACGGGAAAAGAAACUCUAAUGAAUGUCAUUAGUAAAUUCAACUGCACGGCAAAAAGUAUAUCCAAAACGAAGUUGUGAUCAAAUAUAUAGAAAAGGAUCACCAGCAAAGGAGGUUUUACCUUUUGGGACAUCUAUACAAUAUACAAACGGAGCAAUGGCAGUUUUAAUGCAAGUUCUCUCAUCCCAAAGUUGCCCUGCAAAUUGAGAAUCGAGAAUUCUGCAAAAGGAAUACGCCAGAUUUGGAAAUGCUCUGACCUCAAAUUGAAUAAGAAAUAGAAAAAACCCACAGGUCCUAAUUUAGUCAAUAUUUAAGCAUCUCAUAGAAUUACACAUGAUUUCUCAGAUUCCAAGGAUGCCUUGACUGAUUUAAUCAUGUAACAAAUCAAAUUUGGAAUAUGUUCGUAUUAUGAGAAAAUAAGUGUAAAGAGGUAAAAUAAAUGUACUAUUUUCUUAUAUACUAAAACUAAAACAAGAGAAGUGACAGCAUUUGCCACCUAACGAGAGAAUUUUCCAUUUUGCCGCCUUUCUUUAAAGUCCACCUCGCCUAUAGCUUGCGUAUCUCAGGUUCGGUGAUAAAAGCAACCAUCUCGGACCCCAAGGCGACAAUGCCUCAAGAUUGAAGUAAGAAAAAGUUAAUGGAAAAAAGAUAAAAGGAUAAAAGAGUUGUGAGCAAGAGAAGUUAGGGUUUUCCUACCCAACAUAGUGUUUUCCACCCAACAUUUCUUUCCAAUAAAACCAGUUUAUUCUUAACUGUUAAUCUUCAUGCUUAUACGUUGUAUGAGCCAAAUAUAUCUUGCCAUUCACUGGACACAAACAACCACCUCUCAUCCUCCCACAGCUCAUCCUUUCAAUGCUCAGGCAAAGGACCACUCACGAAGCCAAAAGUAAUUGGUCAUGAUGGUGCCCUCAAGAUUCAUGUUCAAGCAAGAGUUUGCAGCACUGAUAAAGUGACCUUUUAGUAGACCUAAACUCUGCUUAAACCACCCAAUCUGAUCCACUUGGAAGAAAUCUAGAACUCAUUUAAAUUUGGACUUGACAAACAUCCACCACUCCCAAACCUCUAACUCACAAUUAUACGACUAUUUGAAGUACACUUUCAGCUAACCAGACUUGUUCUUCUCCACCAUAAUAACAAAAACAAUUCAUUGCACAUUAUAGUUGCAUGAUAUGUUAACCACCAAAUUAAAUCGAGAAAACAAGCAAAACUCUAUAGUCGGCCUCCUCACCAACACAUUAAUCAAGAUUAAGAAGGAGCUUGAAAAAUCAAUUAAUAUUCGCGGGUACUUGCUACAACAUGUGUUGGCAGCUUAAAGAUUAUCCACUAGUUGUAUAGUCAAACCUCUCUAUAGGCUAUAACAGCCUCGUUUGUUCUGAAUAUUUUUGGAUGUUAUAGCGAAGUGCUGUUAUAGAGAACAUAUAUUAUAACAUAACAUAAAAAUUGGUUCCGAAAAAGCUUGACUUUUAUAGAGAAGUGUUGUUAUAUAGGGAUGCUGUUAUAGAGAGGUAUGACUGUAGUUGCUUAAUGUGGUUAAUAAACAAGUUUCCCGAAGUCCUUGACUUUGGAGGAGUGAUUAAUCAUAAAGUUAUGCAUAUAUCAUGUAUACUUUCUGUGCGAUACAUCGCCUCCUUUAGGUCUUAAAGUUUUCCAAAUUUUCAAUUGGACUUUUAAUGAUAAUCUAACUGGCCAAUGGAUGCAAAUAUAGUAAUAGCUGAUAGGCAAUUUAUAUCUUCAACAUGAUAAGCUAGAAAAGAAUGAAAAUGUUAAUACCAUGAUGUGAAACAUGGGACAAUAAAUCUAUAGAAAAAAAAACUUAAAAUAUAUCAGUAACUAUGCAAACAUGACAUGCUCACGGUUUCAAGAACAACAAAAUUGUCUAUCAUUGUUGGAUAUCCCAGCUUUCCACGAGAUAUAUAACGUUCCUGAACUCAUUUGCUUCCUAACAUAACUCCUAUAAAGAGCAGAAAAGCUGAUAAUCCUGAAACCUAGCUGAAGGUCAACAGUCUAGAAAGCGUAUAAAGCAAUAAGCACUACAAUUAAACGAAAAGAAAUGACAUCUCAGCUUCUUUAAGUUUCUUUUGGUUCAACAUGUAUUAGCAAGAGAAUCAAUUUCAGUAGGAAAAGGCAAAGUAUAGGACCACUCCCUGAUUUUAAUUCAGAAUCAGAUGUACUAGCAUAGGAAAAAUGACUAUGUGGUCAUAUGGGCAAUAACAUAACCAAUACAGCUCCAUAUCAAUGAUCAUUAAAAGCUAUUCAAAAUAAAGCAGUGAAUUUAAAGAACGUGAUGUUUGGUCUUGCUGCUGGUAGUAUUAGCGUUCCAACAAUCAAUGACUAGGAUCCAAGAACAAAACUAAUAGACUUCUUUAUCUAAAAACUACUUGCAUCUACAAAAAGAUCCAACUUGCAACAACAGGUGCCAUCUUCAAAACAAGAAUUAUACUCCAGCAUUAAAAAAAAUGAAAAAAUACAACCGAUCCGACUACACCCCUAAAGACAGGAAGAAAAAUAGAUUGUCUAAGAGGGCUUGUUAACAUGUUAUGAAGCAAGAAAUUCAGCACCCAUACGAAGAAACAAAAAUUAAGAAGAUUCAAAAGCAAGAAAAAUGAAAGAUCGCUGCUGUGUAAUGCAUGUAAUUUACAUUUUACAACCGUACCUGUCGUCGACGUCGUGCCCAAGAAGAGAGCUAGUUGAACACACAAACAACAAGGAAUGGCCUCAUUCUGGACGCUGUGGCAUUUGUGAAUGAAUAAAUUUGGUAGAAGAAAGUGGAAGAAGGG
rnacentral:lncRNA from 1 species